AAAGUGGAGCAAUCCAUGAGUAGAGUGGCAAACGGGUGAGUAACACGUGGGUGACCUGCCUUCGAGCGGGGGAUAACGUCCCGAAAGGGACGCUAAUACCGCAUAACAUCCCGCCUUUUAAGAGGUGGAGAUCAAAGCCGGGGAUCGCAAGACCUGGCACUUGAAGAGGGGCCCGCGCCUGAUUAGCUAGUUGGUGGGGUAAUGGCUCACCAAGGCAACGAUCAGUAUCCGGCCUGAGAGGGCGGACGGACACACUGGGACUGAGACACGGCCCAGACUCCUACGGGAGGCAGCAGUGGGGAAUUGUUCGCAAUGGGCGCAAGCCUGACGACGCAACGCCGCGUGGAGGAUGAAGACCUUCGGGUCGUAAACUCCUUUCGAUCGAGACGAAUGGUGUCCGGGUGAACAAUCCGGAGAAAUGACGGUACCGAGAGAAGAAGCCCCGGCUAACUCCGUGCCAGCAGCCGCGGUAAUACGGGGGGGGCAAGCGUUGUUCGGAAUUACUGGGCGUAAAGGGCUCGUAGGUGGCCAACUAAGUCAGACGUGAAAUCCCUCAGCUUAACUGGGGAACUGCGUCUGAUACUGGAUGGCUUGAGUUUGGGAGAGGGAUGCGGAAUUCCAGGUGUAGCGGUGAAAUGCGUANAUAUCUGGAGGAACACCGGUGGCGAAGGCGGCAUCCUGGACCAAUACUGACACUGAGGAGCGAAAGCCAGGGGAGCAAACGGGAUUAGAUACCCCGGUAGUCCUGGCCCUAAACGAUGAAUGCUUGGUGUGGCGGGUAUCGAUCCCUGCCGUGCCG
rnacentral:rRNA from 1 species